rnacentral:rRNA from 1 species
UACGUAGGGGGCAAGCGUUGUCCGGAAUCAUUGGGCGUAAAGAGCGUGUAGGCGGCUCGAUAAGUCUGCUGUGAAAGUCCAGGGCUCAACCCUGGAAGGCCGGUGGAAACUGUCGGGCUAGAGUCCGGAAGAGGCGAGUGGAAUUCCCGGUGUAGCGGUGAAAUGCGCAGAUAUCGGGAGGAACACCAAUGGCGAAGGCAGCUCGCUGGGACGGUACUGACGCUGAGACGCGAAAGCGUGGGAAGCAAACAGG